rnacentral:lncRNA from 1 species
UAGAAAAAAAUAAAAAACUGCUUAUUUCAAGAUAGCAGAUACACUCGUAAACGGUAAAGUUAAAAUUGACGGACGACGGUGCUAAAUAUGUUCCUUGGUGUUCA